CCUAGCGAACGCCUACCUGGGCCAGAUCUUUAGGUCUGCGCCCAAGUAGGGGUAUCCACAACCCGUGUUUACAUACUCUUGUUGCUUUGGCGGGCCGUGGUUUCCCACUACGGGCUCAGCUCGUACGCGCCCGCCAGAGGAUUAAACUCUGAAUAUUAGUGAUGUCUGAGAACUAUAUAAUAGUUA
rnacentral:misc_RNA from 1 species